rnacentral:rRNA from 1 species
UACGUAGGGUGCAAGCGUUAAUCGGAAUUACUGGGCGUAAGGCGUGCGCAGGCGGAUCAUCAAGUCGGGGGUGAAAUCCCGGGGCUCAACCUGGGAAUUGCGUUGGAGACUGCAAGGCUAGAAUCUGGCAGAGGGGGGUAGAAUUCCACGUGUAGCAGUGAAAUGCGUAGAGAUGUGGAGGAACACCGAUGGCGAAGGCAGCCCCCUGGGUCAAGAUUGACGCUCAUGCACGAAAGCGUGGGGAGCAAACAGG